CCUACGGGAGGCAGCAGUAAGGAAUAUUGGUCAAUGGACGCAAGUCUGAACCAGCCAUGCCGCGUGCAGGAUGAAGGCCCUCUGGGUUGUAAACUGCUUUUAUAGGGGACGAAAAAGGGACUUUCUAGUUCAACUGACGGUACCCUAGGAAUAAGCACCGGCUAACUCCGUGCCAGCAGCCGCGGUAAUACGGAGGGUGCAAGCGUUAUCCGGAUUUACUGGGUUUAAAGGGUGCGUAGGUGGGUUGGUAAGUCAGCGGUGAAAUCUUCAAGCUUAACUUGGAAACUGCCAUUGAUACUAUCAAUCUUGAAUCAUCUGGAGGUAAGCGGAAUAUGUCAUGUAGCGGUGAAAUGCCUAGAUAUGACAUAGAACACCAAUUGCGAAGGCAGCUUACUACGGAUGUAUUGACACUGAGGCACGAAAGCGUGGGGAUCAAACAGGAUUAGAUACCCUGGUAGUCCACGCCCUAAACGAUGGAUACUCGACAUACGUGAUAUACUAUGUGUGUNUGAGNGAAGANAUUAAGUUAUCCCACCGUACGGGUAAGGUAACGUAGUUCGCGAAGAAGUUAGUAAACGUUAAAAGGUUAAAGUUAGUACGGGCGUUGAGACGUUGCCGACGGACGACGACGAGGGAGGAGG
rnacentral:rRNA from 1 species